UUUAAACUUCUUAACAUGUGCAAAUUUGCACAUGAUAGAUAAACCCAUAUAAAUUAUGAAACAACCCAAAAUAAAAUUAAAAUAUGUGAAAAAUUACUAAAGACAAUAAAGUAUGGUUACUUAAAUGAGUUUAAUUGAUAUGCACCGACGGUGUAAAAUAGUUUUGUACGAUCGUCCAAUAAACAACCAUCAUUUUGCCAUGUCAUAUCAAGAAAGUGGGGUAAAAUGGGGUGAUGUGGCGGAAAACAUGGUUGGUAUUGAUUGACGGUGUAAAAUUAUUUUACACCGUCGGUGUAUAUAAAUUAAAUCCUACUUAAAUAGCAUAUAUUACUUAAAUGAUGGUUCAAAAUUAAUAUAUAUUAUAAAAAUAUUUAUUUAUCUGAAAAUAGAUUAAAAUGCAAAUUUAACCAGAUAAAUUGAAACUAAGUAACAUUUAUGCAUUAGGAACAUUUUCUCUUCUGUAGAUCGAGAUCUAAGAUGAGGAUAUUCACAAACAUUUUGUCAUCGAUCAACAAGGCUAAGCCAAGGUAUCUUCUUCAUACAUCCUUUCUUAAGUUUUCAUCAACGAAAGCAUUGUAACUGUUGUUUUUGGAAUGGGUUAAUUUUAAUCCUUCAUUCAUAAGCAUCCUAACUGUUUUCAAAUUGGUUUUAAUGGAAUGGGUUUUGAUUUAUAGAAAUUGUAACCAUUUGAUUUGAAUCUGAUAUAGGUGUUAAUGGGAUGGGUUGAUUUUUUUAUACGCAUGUUACCUGUUUGAUUUAAAUCUGAAUUGGGGUUUAAGGGAAAGG
rnacentral:lncRNA from 1 species